rnacentral:lncRNA from 1 species
UGAUAAUUAUUGUUUUCAUAUACUUUGAUAAUUUCUGCUAUGAUAACUAGAUAACGAGCAUGCUAGGAUUUCUAUAUUUUAUUAUUUAUUAUCUAACCCCUUACAACUUGAGGAAGCACGUUACAAAUUAUCUAUGCUAUCCAGGUAUGUCCUCUAUCAUCUACUUUCUGAAUUCUGUGAAUAUGCUUGUCAUUGUGAAAUAAUACUUAUGUCUAAUAAUGCUUGAGUGUCCUGAUAUGCAUGUUUCAUUGUUUGAUUAUUUCCAAUAAAAUACAUGUUGGAUGAUAUAUUGUUUAAAUUAACCGUUUAUGUUUUAUGAUAGCGCUUGAAGAGCGGUUCAGGUACGCACCCUAACUCUCCUUUAUUGUGAUUUGAUCUUGUUUAACAUGCAACUUUUUUUUAAAUCACCUAGCCUACUUAGGUAUCCAUGAUCAACCAUUUAAUUGUCAUGCUUUCCUUAACUUAGUCAGUAGAGACCUCUUUAGGGCUUAGAGGGGUCCUACCUCCUAGAGGUACCUUCCCAAU